rnacentral:RNase_P_RNA from 1 species
CGAGUUGGCCGGGCGGCCGCGGAUCGAGGAACCGGCACCGAAUGGUGUCAGGCCCCGAGCCGAGGAAAGUCCGGACUCCACAGAGCAGGGCGGUUGCUAACGGCAACCCGAGGUGACUCGCGGGACAGUGCCACAGAAAACAGACCGCCUGCCCUUCGGGGCAGGUGAGGGUGAAACGGUGCGGUAAGAGCGCACCAGCACCCCGGGUGACCGGGGUGGCUCGGUAAACCCCGCCCGGAGCAAGGUCGAAGGCCGCACCACCCCCUCGGGGCGGCGGUGCGGCUGCGCAGGUGUUCGAGGGCUGCUCGCCCGAGCCUGCGGGUGGACCGCUCGAGGUACCCGGUGACGGUGUGCCCAGAUGGAUGGUCGCCACCCCGCCUCGGCGGGGGACAGGAUCCGGCUUACAGGCCGACUCGUCCG